rnacentral:misc_RNA from 1 species
GAUGAAGAACGUAGUGAAAUGCGAUAAGUAAUGUGAAUUGCAGAAUUCAGUGAAUCAUCGAAUCUUUGAACGCACAUUGCGCCCGCCAGUAUUCUGGCGGGCAUGCCUGUUCGAGCGUCAUUUCAACCAUCAAGCCCCCGGGCUUGUGUUGGGGACCUGCGGCUGCCGCAGGCCCCGAAAACCAGUGGCGGGCUCGCUGUCACCCCGAGCGUAGUAGUUUACACCUCGCCCAGGGCGUGCCGCGGGUUCCCGGCCGUUAAACCCCCCCAUACCACAAGGUUGACCUCGGAUCAGGUAGGAAGACCAGCUGAACUUAAGCAUAUCAAUAAGCGGAGGA